UGUUGUGUACUCAUGGGAAUG
ensembl:piRNA 21ur-930 ncRNA